rnacentral:rRNA from 1 species
UGGGGAAUAUUGCACAAUGGGCGCAAGCCUGAUGCAGCAAUGCCGCGUGAGUGAAGACGGCCUUAGGGUUGUAAAACUCUUUCGCUAGGGAAGAUAAUGACGGUACCUAGUAAAGAAGUCCCGGCUAACUCCGUGCCAGCAGCCGCGGUAAUACGUAGGGUGCAAGCGUUGUCCGGAAUUAUUGGGCGUAAAGAGCUCGUAGGCGGUCCGUUGCGUCUGCCGUGAAAACCCGGAGCUCAACUCCGGGCCUGCGGUGGAUACGGGCGGACUAGAGUCCGGUAGGGGGAGACUGGAAUUCCUGGUGUAGCGGUGGAAUGCGCAGAUAUCAGGAGGAACACCAGUGGCGAAGGCGCCGCUCUGGGCCGUAACUGACGCUGAGGAGCGAAAGCAU